GCUUUUCUAACAAAAAUAAGACAUGAGGUGGGGAAAGAGUUUCAGAUGAAGCACAGAGUAGGGAUGGGGUAGCACAGGGGGCUUACAGAGGUGCUGGAAGACCACCUCAGGAACUCCUGGCUAGUGUAACUGCGGAGCUGUGUGAGAGAAAGCCAGGGGACUCCUCCUCUAUGGUGAGCUCCUAGAAGCAAGCCUUGGCUAGGAUUUGGAUGUGUGUGUUUCACUGAAGAGGAGUUGUCAGGAAAUAUCUACUAGGGAGUGAGAGGAGCAAGACAGAAGACGGGAAGGAACCCAGCGGAGAUCAGGUCUCAGGCGGAGAGGAGCCUCAGCUCUGUCCAUCGGGGGGAUGGGGCAGUCUCUUCAUGAACCCACUCCAGGGGGCCUGCCUUUUGUGCCAUCACUGGCUGUUGGCCAGGCCUAGAGGCAGGGUGUGGUUAACCUCCCCGGUGAGGAACUCUGGUCAGCCGAGGGCAAACCUCCAGGGAAGGAGAGCAGCUGUGGGGAGAGGACAACCAAAGUCCCAGCAGCCAGGAGAUGGGAACCCCACAAGGCAGAGGGGAUCUGGACAAGGCCCCACCAUCUCUAUCUACAUGCACGGUCACAGAAAGGAGAGAAGGAAAGAAAGAAAAAAGGGAGUAAAGGAGAGGAAGAAAGGAAGAAAAAGAGAGAGAAUGGGAAUGCUGCUUUAUUCUAAAAAUGGGUAUUGAAAAUGUCUUUUAUGCCAAUAAUUGUGCUUAAUAAUGGCUAAUCAAUAUUUCAUUUAAACCUAUGAGUAGGUGUGAUGUGGUAUUGACAAGAAUGUAUAUUUUAUGUAUUUAAAGUGGAGAGCUCUAUAAAUGUUUAUUAAGUUUACUUGUUCUGGAUCUGAGUUCAAGUCCUGGAUAUCCUCAUUAAUUUUCUGUCUCAUUGGUCUAUCUAAUAUUGAUGUUGAAGUCUCCCACUAUUAUUGUGUGGGAGUCUAGGGAGUCUAAGUCUCUUUAUAGGUCUUAUGUAUCUGGGUGCUCCUGUAUUGGGUGUGUAUAUAUUUAGGAUCGUUAGCUCUUCUUGUUGCAUUGAUCCUUUUACCACUAUAUCUUUGUUGCUUGAAAGUCUAUUUUAUCAGAGGCGAGAAUUGCAACUCCUGCUUUUUAUUUAUUUAUUUAUUUUUGCUCUCCAUUUGGUUGGUAAAUCUUUCUUUCUCCAUCCCUUUGUUUUGAGUCUUUGUGUAUCCUUGCAUGUGAAAUGGGUCUAGAUGUAGCAUACCGUUGUGUUUUCGCUGUAUCUUUUGAUUGGGGGAUUUAGUCGAUUUAAAUUUAGGGUUACUGCCAUUUGAUGUUAACUGGCUGUUUUGUCAAUUCAUUGAUGUAAAUUCUUCUUUAUGUUGAUGCUCCCUACUUUUUGGUAUAUUUUUAGAAAGGCUCAUACUGGUUGUUUCUUUCUGUGUAUAAUGCUUCUUUCAGAAGCUCUUGUAAAGCAGGCCUGGUGGUAAUAAAAUCUCUGAGUACUUGCUUGUUCA
rnacentral:lncRNA from 13 species